rnacentral:rRNA from 1 species
UACGAAGGGGGCUAGCGUUGCUCGGAAUCACUGGGCGUAAAGGGUGCGUAGGCGGGUCUUAAGUCAGGGGUGAAAUCCUGAAGCUCAACUCCAGAACUGCCUUUGAUACUGAAGAUCUUGAGUUCGGGAGAGGUGAGUGGAACUGCGAGUGUAGAGGUGAAAUUCGUAGAUAUUCGCAAGAACACCAGUGGCGAAGGCGGCUCACUGGCCCGAUACUGACGCUGAGGCACGAAAGCGUGGGGAGCAAACAGG